rnacentral:rRNA from 1 species
UACGGAGGGUGCAAGCGUUGUCCGGAUUCAUUGGGUUUAAAGGGUGCGUAGGCGGGCAGGUAAGUCCGUGGUGAAAUCUCUGAGCUUAACUCAGAAACUGCCAUGGAUACUAUUUGUCUUGAAUAUUGUGGAGGUAAGCGGAAUAUGUCAUGUAGCGGUGAAAUGCUUAGAUAUGACAUAGAAUACCCAUUGCGAAGGCAGCUAACUACGCGAUAAUUGACGCUGAUGCACGAAAGCGUGGGGAUCAAACAGG